GACGAACGCUGGCGGCGUGCUUAACACAUGCAAGUCGAACGGAAAGGCCCUGCUUUUGUGGGGUGCUCGAGUGGCGAACGGGUGAGUAACACGUGAGUAACCUGCCCUUGACUUUGGGAAAACUUCAGGAAACUGGGGCUAAUACCGGAUAGGAGCUCCUGCUGCAUGGUGGGGGUUGGAAAGUUUCGGCGGUUGGGGAUGGACUCGCGGCUUAUCAGCUUGUUGGUGGGGUAGUGGCUUACCAAGGCUUUGACGGGUAGCCGGCCUGAGAGGGUGACCGGCCACAUUGGGACUGAGAUACGGCCCAGACUCCUACGGGAGGCAGCAGUGGGGAAUAUUGCACAAUGGGCGGAAGCCUGAUGCAGCAACGCCGCGUGCGGGAUGACGGCCUUCGGGUUGUAAACCGCUUUCGCCUGUGACGAAGCGCGAGUGACGGUAAUGGGUAAAGAAGCACCGGCUAACUACGUG
rnacentral:rRNA from 1 species